GAUCCUGGCUCAGGAUGAACGCUGGCGGCGUGCCUAACACAUGCAAGUCGAACGAAGCACUUUAUUUGAUUUCCUUCGGGACUGAUUAUUUUGUUGACUGAGUGGCGGACGGGUGAGUAACGCGUGGGUAACCUGCCUUGUACAGUGGGAUAACAGUUGGAAACGGCUGCUAAUACCGCAUAAGCGCACAGCAUCGCAUGAUGCAGUGUGAAAAACUCCGGUGGUAUAAGAUGG
rnacentral:rRNA from 1 species